AUACAUGCAAGUCGAGCGAACAGAAGGGAGCUUGCUCCCGGAUGUUAGCGGCGGACGGGUGAGUAACACGUGGGUAACCUGCCUGUAAGACUGGGAUAACUCCGGGAAACCGGAGCUAAUACCGGAUAGUUCCUUGAACCGCAUGGUUCAAGGAUGAAAGACGGUUUCGGCUGUCACUUACAGAUGGACCCGCGGCGCAUUAGCUAGUUGGUGGGGUAAUGGCUCACCAAGGCGACGAUGCGUAGCCGACCUGAGAGGGUGAUCGGCCACACUGGGACUGAGACACGGCCCAGACUCCUACGGGAGGCAGCAGUAGGGAAUCUUCCGCAAUGGACGAAAGUCUGACGGAGCAACGCCGCGUGAGUGAUGAAGGUUUUCGGAUCGUAAAGCUCUGUUGUUAGGGAAGAACAAGUGCGAGAGUAACUGCUCGCACCUUGACGGUACCUAACCAGAAAGCCACGGCUAACUACGUGCCAGCAGCCGCGGUAAUACGUAGGUGGCAAGCGUUGUCCGGAAUUAUUGGGCGUAAAGGGCUCGCAGGCGGUUUCUUAAGUCUGAUGUGAAAGCCCCCGGCUCAACCGGGGAGGGUCAUUGGAAACUGGGAAACUUGAGUGCAGAAGAGGAGAGUGGAAUUCCACGUGUAGCGGUGAAAUGCGUAGAGAUGUGGAGGAACACCAGUGGCGAAGGCGACUCUCUGGUCUGUAACUGACGCUGAGGAGCGAAAGCGUGGGGAGCGAACAGGAUUAGAUACCCUGGUAGUCCACGCCGU
rnacentral:rRNA from 1 species